rnacentral:rRNA from 1 species
UACCAGCUCUCCGAGUUGUAGGGAUGAUUAUUGGGCUUAAAGCGUCCGUAGCUGGCUUAGCAAGUCUCCUGUUAAAUUCAGCGACCUAAUCGUUGAGCCGCGGGAGAUACUACUAGGCUAGGAGGCGGGAGAGGUCGACGGUACUUUCGGGGUAGGGGUGAAAUCCUAUAAUCCCGGGAGGACCACCAGUGGCGAAGGCUGUCGACUAGAACGCGCUCGACGGUGAGGGACGAAAGCUGGGGGAGCGAACCGGAUUAGAUACCCGGGUAGUCCCAGCUGUAAACUAUGCGGGCUAGGUGUUGGGGUGGCUACGGGCCACUUCAGUGCCGCAGGAAGCCAUUAAGCCCGCCGCCUGGGGAGUACGGCCGUAAGGCUGAAACUUAAAGGAAUUGGCGGGGGAGCACCACAAGGCGUGAAGCUUGCGGUUC